UACGUAGGGUGCGAGCGUUGUCCGGAAUUAUUGGGCGUAAAGAGCUCGUAGGCGGUUUGUUGCGUCGGCCGUGAAAACUUGGGGCUUAACUCCGAGCUUGCGGUCGAUACGGGCAGACUUGAGUUCGGCAGGGGAGACUGGAAUUCCUGGUGUAGCGGUGAAAUGCGCAGAUAUCAGGAGGAACACCGGUGGCGAAGGCGGGUCUCUGGGCCGAUACUGACGCUGAGGAGCGAAAGCGUGGGGAGCAAACAGG
rnacentral:rRNA from 1 species